GCUAGGAUAGCUCAGCUGGUAGAGCAAUUGAUUCGUAAUCAAUAGGUCGUAGGUUCGAAUCCUAUUCCUAGCACCA
rnacentral:tRNA from 1 species